GGUGAUGAUGGUUGGCGGCGACGGCGGCGGUGGCUGUGGUUGGCGGGACUGCGGUCGCCGCCGUGGCUGGCGGGGCGCAACAACUACUGCCCCCGCUGGCGCUGCUGGCUGCGCUGCAAGGGCCACCGCUCGCCGCUCCCCCUCCCGGAGUCUCGCGCUCCUUAUCCGCUGCAGGGGCUCCGGGGCCUGAGCCGGGGCCUGGGCCAGAACCGGAGCUGGAGCCAGGGCCAGGACCGCUACAGCUACGAGGUAGCCCGGAGGCCAACACCCGCGAGUAGAUGUCCCGGAAGAGACUCUCCAUACAGGCGGUCAGGUAGAUGGCGGCAUGCUCGUGGAUGCGCAGCGCCACGCGGCUGUCCACCAUCCAGCGGUACACGCGGCCCACGGAGAAGGUGAGGCCGCAGCGCGCCGACUUGCCACGGCCCAAGCGGUCGCCGCCAGCGCUGCUCAUGUUAUAGAGGGACAGCGCGGCCAGCGCGGCAGCGGUGCAGUGAGCCGCCAGGCCCCAGGACAGUACGAUCUCCAUGGCACUCUGGAUCUCGUACUUGGUGCACUUGGCGAAGCGCAGGCUCAGGCGCUGCGCCUCUUUAGCGAUGCGCACUAGAGCCCGGCUUACCAGCAUCGAGAGCUUGGCCAGCGCGUCCUUGGGCAGGCUGCCGGGGACCGCUGGGCCUGCCCGGGGAUCCCGCGAGCGCAGCAGCAGCAACUCCAGUUCCUGGAGGGUCCAGGGGACCUCGUCGAGGUCCGGCAGCAACCGCGAGCAGUGCUGACCGGCGCAGUCCAGCCCCUCGGAGUCUUCCACCAGGGCAGUGUUGACGGUGUCAAAGCUGUUGUGCCGGCUGUGCAUGGAGUCAGCUAAAGGCGGCCAGCAGCUCCCGCCAUACGGGGACGCCGGGUGAGAGUCAGAACAGCACAGAGACAAGUUGGAGGAGCGCACAGAGUCCGCCGCGCCACCAUAACCCGAGUCCAGCGUCAGAUCUUCCAGCGUUCGCACCACAGGCUUCUUACCUCUCCUGGCCAUCGCUGCGCCACUUCAUGCUGCAGCCGCCGUGGAGCCGAGGGGAAGGAAAGGCAAGGAUCUGUGGGCACCGGGGUCCUCGGGGACAGCGGGGCUCCACGUCGCCUAGGCUCACUUUCCCACCUGGCGUUGCCAGCAAGUGUCACUACUUUCGCCUGUCUCCCCGAGCCGUCACCACGGGAAGAUACACGGCGGAACCUGAAGUCAUCUUCUGGAGUCGGGGCCAGAGCGAGGGCGCACUGAGCCGCGAGCCAGGCCGGGAAGGAAGCUCCCGCCAGGACCCGCGCCUUUCAUCCAAAAUAAAAGUGUCUGGUCCUCUCCUCCCUGGGACCAGACGGAUGCAGAAGCCUCCGAGAGCCGGCCACAGUGUCGAUAGGACCUAGAUCGCCCCAGAUACGGCCGCCGCAGCUCGGCGGGCUACGGGCUCCCCCGGCUCCGGGAUCCGGGCCGCGGUUCUCUUGAGCUCCCGCCCCGCACUAAAGCGCUGUAGCCAGGCGGCUGCAAAACCCUGCUGAGCCCCAGCAAACCAAGCAGUCAGAGGGCGGGCGCAUGCAAAGCAGGGCCGUCGAAGAGCCAAUGGAAUCGGGGGAUGCUAAUUACUUAGGUUUUUUUUUUUUUUUUUUAUUCCUCCCUUCCAUGCGGCCCCGCCCCUCAGACACGCCCCCCCAGGCCUUGACCAGGGCUGCAGCUAGGAGGGAUCCGCGGCCUAGGUGGAAGCCUGGAGAAGAACAGUCAUCCUGCAACUGUAGCUUCCCUAGUUUCUGCUUUCGAACUAUCGACAAAAAUAUCAUUUAUAUCGUUAUUUGUUCCACUCUGCGGUUCAUAAAGUGUUUGUCCGAGGGUUACUUUCUGCUUUGGCAUUUUAGAUUUCUCUUUCCCUCCCACCAGCCCAUACAAGAUGCACGUUUCUCCUCCCUCUUCAGGCACCCUGACUAAUUCAGGCGGGUGCCGCUUCUCAGCCUGGGUUUGCUCCAGCAUGGAAGGAAAUAAAACAGGAAAGUAGUGAGGGGGAGACUGAUAAUUGCCACUGGGAAGCGAAUCUCUAGCCAUAAACCACCUGUCACCAGGACUUUCUAGGUUUGUUCGGCAGACAGGAAUCUACCCUUAAGUUCCAGGGUGUGUGUGUGUGUGUGUGUGUGUGUGUGUGUGUGUGUGUGUGUGUGUGUUCCGGCCACUCUGUGGUUCUGGUGGACAAUGCUCUAGACUGCUCAAACUUAAAUUUGUGCACAGGAGAAUAUUCUUUUCAGCUAAAGAAAGAUACAAAAUAUAUGUGUGUGUCUGCUGCAUUUCUGUGUCUAACAGCAUCAUUGCUUGGCUAUUUGUCUAUCUCUACCUACCUUAGGAAAAACCUUAUUCAUUCAAAGAUUCCUACCUCCCUUACACAAUCCUAUUCCUACAAGAAGCCCACCCUGAUCUCCCAAAACUAUCCUGGGUGUUUCCACCACCCCACCCUCUUCGAUGGCUUCACAUUUCUGGGCCCUUGUCACGCUGGCUUGCUACUAUCUAUUUAUUUGUCUGGAUCCCACAUUGGGCUAGGGAGUUGUGGUAAAUGUAUGAGUCGACAAGGGAAGGACGUGCUUUGAACUGCUGGUUUGAACGUUCAACUGUGGCUGAAGGGAUGUGAGAAGACACUCAACAUCACUGGCCAUCAGGGUAACUGCAAAUCAGAACCAUAAGGAGCUGCCAGCUCAUGCCUGUUAGGAUGGCGAUUAUCAGAAAGUCAAAAGAUUACAAGCAUCAACAAGGGUGUGGAGGAUAAAGAAGAGUGUACUCUAUUGGUGAGAAGGGAAAUUGAUAUAGCUAUUAUGGAAAAUAAUGCCGAAGAUCUUCAAAAAAUUACUAAUUAGAACUACCAUGUGAUCCAAUAAUCCCACAUCUGGAUCUUUACCAAACAGAAAUAAAGCCACUAUUUAAAAGAUCUAUUUACUCCCCUCUCCCUGUUCAUUGAAGCAUUAUUUGCAAUCGCUAAGAGAGAAUAUUGUUCAGACUUCAAAAAGAAGGAAAUCUCACCAUGUAUAACAAAUGGCUAAUCUGGACAGUAUCAUCCUGCUAAGGGGAGUGUCUCACUUAUUGUGUGACUCUAAAAAGAAUCACACAGUAGCACCAGAAUGUACGAUGGUAACUGGGUGCAGACAGGGGCGGGGGAUUGUUCAGCACACAGACUUAUAUUUACAGAUGAUGUGUUCCACAGUUCUAGAGACAUUACAUACAUGCAGGGUGGCAUCUAGAGUGAAUGAUGAUGUCGGUAGGAAGUUGUCUGUAAGUGUUCUUAUCAGGCAGAGGAAAAGGUCAGAUGUAUGGGUUGAGAGGUAUGUUAAUUUUCUUGAUUAUGGUAAUUAUUCACAAUACAUAUAAUAAACACCACAUAGUACACC
rnacentral:lncRNA from 1 species